ACCACUUCUGGCACGAAAGUCGCUGCGCUGCAGGAAGGGGUGAUGUCCGGGCCCUCGCAGCGCCCCGGUGCUUGGGGAUCCCACAGGCGGUAGCCUCCUACAACCGGGGAACUAGCAUUGUGGGGAAACACUCAAAAUUCGCCCAACAAAACAGGCCUGGCAGGCGGAGGAUAGGUCGCGGAAGAACAGAGCCUGCUGCACGUGCCGGCUGGGAGAGACCCCAGGCUGGAGGAGGGGCGCUGCCGGAAGCUCAGCGCGCCACAGCGCCCGGGCUGCGGACCCAACAUGGCGGCCGCCGUCCCACAGAGCCGGCGCCCGGGAGGAUGCCGGGCGGGGAGCUCAGUCAACAGGACGCCCGUUUUCUCCUGUGUGUCACCUUCCUGCAAUCUCACGCCUGUCAGACACAGGAGGCCUUGUUCCUUCUGAGCCACCUGAGCCGGCCUCACCGUCAGCAGCAGUUUCCAGUCAGAGCGCCCUUUUCAGCGUUCACCACAGUUGCUCUGGUCCCGCUGACGACCAGAGGCGAGGUGCCUGUCUCCCAGUCCCUUGAGCAGGCUGCUCAGACCAGUCCCUGCCCCGCCCAGGCCGUCCUGGCACAGAGCUCUGGGGAGCUCAAGACGUUUCCCGCUAUCGUCUCCUCUCCACAGAGCCCAGCGCCUCCUGCCCGGAAGUUGCACCAACUUCAGGCGCGUCCCUGACUGAGCGGGCGUGGAGGGGAAGAUCAGAAGUUCUGGGAGACAUUAACGUUCCUGGAGCAAGUGUGAACCAAUGAAGAAGGGGAGUUGGGCAAGAAGUGUGGAGAAAUGGAAUUACCAUCCUAUUCGAAACUCCUGGCGGCAUCCAUUGCAGAGAGAAUCUGGAAUAUCUACUUACUGUCCGUGCUGCUUUCUCUAUAACAGGGGCCUCAUCAAACCAGACCCCAACUAGCCACGUUGGAGUAGGAAAUAUAGAAUAAAGUGAAACAAAACUCAAUCUGUCAAAGUAAAGGGACAGACAUCACUUCCUAAAUGAUGCAUUUGAUUUCUUCCCUAUCUUAGUAAAUGGGCAAACCACAUCAAGUUUGCCCAUUACCCACUAGCGCAGCCACAGAAAUUAGGAUACACUUUUACUUCUCCUCGUUUUUUUUUUUUACAACCCCUGGCCCCCAAAUAACCUAUCAUUCAAUUGACUAUGGCCCCAAUCUAUGCUCCUGUACAGUUUCAUUGCCAUCACCCUGAUCCUUUUAGUUACUCCUUACUAGCAUGCUCCUCCUAACUGUUCUUUUUGCUUUUAUUUUGGCCCCAUUUUGACUCCUUCUCCCCACACAGCAAUUAAAUGGGAAACUAAAAUAUA